CAGACCUCUAAUCGGAAAAGACUACCCGCUGAGUUUAAGCAUAUCAAUAAGCGGAGGAAA
rnacentral:rRNA from 1 species